rnacentral:rRNA from 1 species
GCACAAGCGGCGGAGCAUGUGGAUUAAUUCGAUGCAACGCGAAGAACCUUACCUGGGUUUGACAUACACCGGAAAACCGUAGAGAUACGGUCCUCCUUGUGGUCGGUGUACAGGUGGUGCAUGGCUGUCGUCAGCUCGUGUCGUGAGAUGUUGGGUUAAGUCCCGCAACGAGCGCAACCCUUGUCUUAUGUUGCCAGCACGUGAUGGUGGGGACUCGUAAGAGACUGCCGGGGUCAACUCGGAGGAAGGUGGGGACGACGUCAAGUCAUCAUGCCCCUUAUGUCCAGGGCUUCACACAUGCUACAAUGGCCAGUACAGAGGGCUGCGAGACCGUGAGGUGGAGCGAAUCCCUUAAAGCUGGUCUCAGUUCGGAUCGGGGUCUGCAACUCGACCCCGUGAAGUCGGAGUCGCUAGUAAUCGCAGAUCAGCAACGCUGCGGUGAAUACGUUCCCGGGCCUU